UAGGGCUCAUUAGGUUAAUUGGGCUCGUUAGGCUCAUUAGCCUCAUUAGAAUGGUGGAGGAGCUGGGGGGGUCCCCAGGGUCAGCGGGGGGGGGGGACACCAAUGUUGGCCUUGUGUUGGGUGGUGGGGACUCGUUAAGGCUCAUUAGGGACCUGCAGAGGCUCAUUAAUUAUGGGCAGCUCUUUAGACGUUAGGGACCUGCAAAAGGCUCGUUAGGGAAUGGGGAGCUCGUUAAUGCUCAUUAAUUGGUGGGGGUUCAUUAAGGCUCGUUGGGUGCUGGAGGAUGUCGAGGUGGAGAUGAAUGAGGUCAGAGGUUAAUGAGGUUAUUGAGGUCAGCAGGGUUAGUGAGAUCAGAGGUUAAUGAGGUCAGUGGGGUUGAUGGAGUUCUGGGUUAACGAGGUCAGUGGAGUUAAUGAGAUCGGAGCUUAAUGAGGUCAGCAGGGUAAUGAGGUCAGAGGUUAAUGAGGUCAGAGGUUACUGAAGGAGCUCUGGGUUAAUGAGGUCAGCCGGGGUAAUGAGAUCGGGACGUCAAUGAAGUCAGAGGUUUACGAGGUCAGAGAUUAAUGAAAAUUAACGAGGGACUCAU